CCCCCCCCCCCCCCCCCCCCCCCCCCCCCCCCCCCCGCCCCCGCUGCCCGGGCCCGCUCUGCACGGUCCGGGAUGCUCGAUGGCUCGGCAUGGUCCGAGGUGCUGGGUGGCUCUGCGUGAUCCGAGGUGCUCGAUGGCUCUGCGUGAUCCGAGGUGCUGGGUGGCUCUGCAUGGUCCGGGAUGCUCGAUGGCUCUGCAUGGUCCGGGAUGCUGGAUGGCUCUGCAUGGUCCAGGGUGCUGGGUGGCUCUGCAUGGUCCAGGUGCUGGAUGGCUCUGCAUGGUCCGAGGUGCUGGAUGGCUCUGCAUGGUCCGAGGUGCUGGGUGGCUCUGCAUGGUCCAGGUGCUGGGUGGCUGCAUCGCCCCAGCCUGGCUCGACCACGGGAAGCUGCUUGGACCAUGCUGCUUUCGGUACUCAAACCCCAUGGUGCUCCAGCUUCUCGUAACAAAGCAAGUCUCAUCCGAAGCAAAUUAUGGCAUUUACUUUUCCUGAAACCUGUAGAACACUAUCAGAGUGACAAGUUGUUCUGAAGUUAAAAUAGAACCCGAAAGGUAUUUAUUGUUACACACUUGUUACACACUUUCUGUAAUGAUGUUAAAUGCAAGAAUCCAGGUCUCCUGCUGUGGGGUAUGUGGAGGUGAACCGUGGAAUGUUACAUCUGCACACACAUCCCCCAGGUGAACACGUGUGCCGUGCAGCCAGACGCGGGGCAGCAGGUUGUGCUGUGUUUCCUGAGGACUGGACCACACAUUUCAGAUUCUGAAGGACAUGACUUGCCUUAGGGCAACUCAUUAUUUGAAGUUAUCUCUCUGUCCUGGUACAUUAUUCGAGUAAUUUCUCAUGAAACUUCAGUCCUGGUACAUUAUUUGAGUAAUUUCUCAUGAAACUUCAGUCCUGUGAGCAUAUAGAGACCCAUAGAAAUUAAUUUCUAGCAAGAUAGUUAGCAGAUAAUAAGCAGACAAGUUAGGGCAAAAAGUCAUCACAUUUACACUUGAACUUGGUUUGACAGGAGCAGUUUAGCUGAAAAAAGAGAAUAUUCACUGACAGAUUAGUAUUAAGUUUGUAACAUGUCAUGGAGAGCAGCAAGAGAAGAGUACUUGGUCAAAUUUCAGCCAUCAUAUUUGUGAUGUUGAGUCAAACAUUGCUGCUUUUGAUGUUGUUGUAUAUGGUGUCACUCAGCACAAUCUUGCCCUAAGGUGCUAAAAUGUUGGGGAUGUCACUUGAGUGGAAUGUGAGUGGUUUGUUAUGCUAUUGGGCUAAGAUUUCCUGUGCUCCUUUUAGCAUGUUGAUUUGUGUCUCCUGAUGCUGGUUGAUAGGUACUUGUGCUCUCUCAGGUCUGAUUGUACAGACUUCAGUAGUGCUCCUAUUCACUUGCUCAGGUUGCCUCUUCUCUUUUGUCUCCUGAAAAUGAAGAACCCUGAGUUUUGUCAAGAUGUCCAUAUUACAGGUACAAUAGGAUAUUUUCAGAGCCAUUGUAGAUGACUAUGCACAAAAAACAGCAGUGUUUCCAAGAAUACUGCCUGCUACAAUCAUUAACUCUUCUUGGCCACUACCUAGUGUAAAAUGCUGAGACACAUCUCUCUUCAUGUACCUGCUGUCACCUCAGUUGCGACAGACUCUCUGUCAGAUUUCAGACAGAUUUCCUUUCUUCCAGACAUUUCUGAAUUGCACAUCCU
rnacentral:lncRNA from 12 species